AGAGUUUGAUCAUGGCUCAGGAUGAACGCUGGCGGUAUGCUUAACACAUGCAAGUCGAACGGAGUACUUCGGUACUUAGUGGCGGACGGGUGAGUAACGCGUGAGAAUCUGCCUUCAGGUUCGGGACAACCACUGGAAACGGUGGCUAAUACCGAAUGUGCAGCAAUGUGAAAAAUUUAUUGCCUGAAGAUGAGCUCGCGUCUGAUUAGCUAGUAGGUGUGGUAAGAGCGCACCUAGGCGACGAUCAGUAGCUGGUCUGAGAGGAUGAUCAGCCACACUGGGACUGAGACACGGCCCAGACUCCUACGGGAGGCAGCAGUGGGGAAUUUUCCGCAAUGGGCGAAAGCCUGACGGAGCAAUACCGCGUGAGGGAGGAAGGCUCUUGGGUUGUAAACCUCUUUUGUCAGGGAAGAACACAAUGACGGUACCUGAAGAAUCAGCAUCGGCUAACUCCGUGCCAGCAGCCGCGGUAAUACGGGGGAUGCAAGCGUUAUCCGGAAUUAUUGGGCGUAAAGCGUCCGCAGGUGGCUAAUCAAGUCUGCUGUCAAAGGUUGGGGCUUAACCCCAAAAAGGCAGUGGAAACUGAGAAGCUAGAGUGCAGUAGGGGUAGAGGGAAUUCCCGGUGUAGCGGUGAAAUGCGUAGAGAUCGGGAAGAACAUCGGUGGCGAAAGCGCUCUACUGGACUGCAACUGACACUCAGGGACGAAAGCUAGGGGAGCGAAUGGGAUUAGAUACCCCCGUAGUCC
rnacentral:rRNA from 1 species